CCCCGUCGCCCCCCGCGGACGUGGACGGCCCCUCCGAGACAACACCCGCCUCCGGCGAGGAGCCCCUGCCCCCAGGUGGAGUCCCCGCUGCUGCGCCCAG